UACGUAGGGUGCAAGCGUUAAUCGGAAUUACUGGGCGUAAAGGGCGCGCAGGCGGCGCAUUUUGUCAGGCGUGAAAGCCCCGGGCUUAACCUGGGACUGCGUUUGAUACGGAUGGGCUAGAGUUCGGGAGAGGAGAGUGGAAUUCCCAGUGUAGAGGUGAAAUUCGUAGAUAUUGGGAAGAACACCGAUGGCGAAGGCAGCCAUCUGGACCGACACUGACGCUGAGGCGCGAAAGCGUGGGGAGCAAACAGG
rnacentral:rRNA from 1 species